GACGAAGUGGCGGCGUGCUAAUACAUGCAAGUAGAACGCUGAAGAAGGAGCGCUCUUUUGGAUGAGUUGCGAACGGGUGAGUAACGGUAGGUAACUGCCUUAGCGGGGAUAACUAUUGGAAACGAUAGCUAAUACCGCAUAACAAUGAAUGCUCAUGUCAUUAUUGAAGGGGCAAUUGCUCCAUCAAGAUGGACUGCGUUGUAUUAGCUAGUAGGUGAGGUACGGUCACUAGGGACGAUACAUACCGCUGAGAGGGUGAUCGGCCCCUGGGAUGAGACACGGCCCAGACUCUCGGAGGCAGCAGUAGAAUCUUCGGCAAUGGGCAACCCUGCGAGCACGCCGCGUAGUGAAAAGGUUUUCGAUCGUAAAGCUCUGUGUAAGUCAAAACAGUGUGAGAUGGAAAAUUCACACUGUGACGGUAGCUUACCA
rnacentral:rRNA from 1 species